rnacentral:rRNA from 1 species
CGUAGUUGUUGAAAGUAAAAGUGUAACAAGGUUUCCGUAGGUGAACCUGCGGAAGGAUCAUUA